UUACGACUACAUAUCAGGCAUAUCAAUAAGCGGAGGAAAAGAAACUAACUAGGAUUCCCUCAGUAACGGCGAGUGAAGCGGGAAGAGCUCAAAUUUGAAAUCUUCAAGGUUUUACCUUGACGAAUUGUAGUUUAAAGAAGUGUUUUCUGUUGAAGUUUCGGUAAAAGUUCUUUGGAAUAGGACAUCAUAGAGGGUGAGAAUCCCGUAUUUGACCAUUUCUUCCAGCUGUGUGAUACACUUUCAAAGAGUCGGAUUGUUUGGGAAUGCAGUCCAAAAUGGGUGGUAAAUUUCAUCUAAAGCUAAAUAUUGGCGAGAGACCGAUAGCGAACAAGUACCGUGAGGGAAAGAUGAAAAGAACUUUGAAAAGAGAGUUAAACAGUACGUGAAAUUGUCAAAAGGGAAGCGUUUGACACCAGUGUUGUUUUCUUGAAAAUCAAUUAAAAAGUAUGGGAUUUUGUAUUGUUAAGACCUUAUCAGCUUACUGUACUUUUCUCUUGCUCUUUUUAAUGCACUUUUCGUUUAACAAGUCAACAUCAAUUUCUUUUGUUGUAAAAGGGUCAUUGGAAGGUGGCUUUCACUUCGGUGAAAGUGUUUAUAGCCUUUGGCUUCUGCAAUCGGAGAGAUUGAGGUCUGCAGCGUAGAUCCUUCGGGGUUAGAUACGUAGAUGCUAAGUUAUAGUUUUUCAUAGACAACUUGUUGACUAUGAUUAAUCAUGUAGCUUACUCGUUUGCGCUAUUUUACCUACGCUUAGGAUGUUGAAUCUGUGCGAGACUAC
rnacentral:rRNA from 1 species